rnacentral:rRNA from 1 species
AGGAGUUUGAWUCAUGGCUCAGGAUGAACGCUGGCGGCGUGCCUAAUACAUGCAAGUCGAGCGAACGGACGAGAAGCUUGCUUCUCUGAUGUUAGCGGCGGACGGGUGAGUAACACGUGGAUAACCUACCUAUAAGACUGGGAUAACUUCGGGAAACCGGAGCUAAUACCGGAUAAUAUUUUGAACCGCAUGGUUCAAAAGUGAAAGACGGUCUUGCUGUCACUUAUAGAUGGAUCCGCGCUGCAUUAGCUAGUUGGUAAGGUAACGGCUUACCAAGGCAACGAUGCAUAGCCGACCUGAGAGGGUGAUCGGCCACACUGGAACUGAGACACGGUCCAGACUCCUACGGGAGGCAGCAGUAGGGAAUCUUCCGCAAUGGGCGAAAGCCUGACGGAGCAACGCCGCGUGAGUGAUGAARGUCUUCGGAUCGUAAAACUCUGUUAUUAGGGAAGAACAUAUGUGUAAGUAACUGUGCACAUCUUGACGGUACCUAAUCAGAAAGCCACGGCUAACUACGUGCCAGCAGCCGCGGUAAUACGUAGGUGGCAAGCGUUAUCCGGAAUUAUUGGGCGUAAAGCGCGCGUAGGCGGUUUUUUAAGUCUGAUGUGAAAGCCCACGGCUCAACCGUGGAGGGUCAUUGGAAACUGGAAAACUUGAGUGCAGAAGAGGAAAGUGGAAUUCCAUGUGUAGCGGUGAAAUGCGCAGAGAUAUGGAGGAACACCAGUGGCGAAGGCGACUUUCUGGUCUGUAACUGACGCUGAUGUGCGAAAGCGUGGGGAUCAAACAGGAUUAGAUACCCUGGUAGUCCACGCCGUAAACGAUGAGUGCUAAGUGUUAGGGGGUUUCCGCCCCUUAGUGCUGCAGCUAACGCAUUAAGCACUCCGGCCUGGGG